rnacentral:rRNA from 1 species
CCUACGGGAGGCAGCAGUGGGGAAUAUUGCACAAUGGGCGAAACCCUGAUGCAGCGACGCCGCGUGAGUGAAGAAGUACUUCGUUAUGUAAAGCUCUAUCAGCAGGGAAGAAAAUGACGGUACCUGAGUCAGAAGCCCCGGCUAACUACGUGCCAGCAGCCGCGGUAAUACGUAGGGGGCACGCGUUAUCCGGAUUUACUGGGUGUAAAGGGAGCGUAGACGGCUGUGCAAGUCUGGCGUGAAAGGCGGGGGCUCAACCCCCGGACUGCUCUGGAAACUGUACGGCUGGAGUGCAGGAGAGGUAGGUGGAAUUUCUAGUGUAGCGGUGCAAUGCGUAGAUAUUAGGAGGAACACCAGUGGCGAAGGCGGCUUACUGGACUGUAACUGACGUUGAGGAGCGAAAGCGUGGGGAGCAAACAGGAUUAGAUACCCCAGUAGUC